UACGAAGGGGGCUAGCGUUGCUCGGAAUUACUGGGCGUAAAGGGCGCGUAGGCGGAUACUUAAGUUAGAGGUGAAAGCCCAGGGCUCAACCCUGGAACAGCCUUUAAUACUGGGUAUCUUGAGUUCGGGAGAGGUGAGUGGAACUCCGAGUGUAGAGGUGAAAUUCGUAGAUAUUCGGAAGAACACCAGUGGCGAAGGCGACUUACUGGACACAUAUUGACGCUGAGGUGCGAAAGCGUGGGGAGCAAACAGG
rnacentral:rRNA from 1 species